CAGGUAUGCUGUCAUCUGCAGGGAGCUGUGGGAGACUGAGCCUUUGACUCCCUGAGACCCCUGUGCUGGCUCAGGCCACUCAGGGCAUUUUUGCCUGCAUCUGUCUGCUGAAGUCCCGGCGGGUCAGAUCCUCCUUGAAGGACUUCAUUUGGGAGCGAGUUGUUAUUUGUCUUUGUCCUCGCAGGCCCUGUUUCUUAGCCUUUGGAGAUGUUCUUGAAAGCUCAGCAGCACCUGUUACAUGGAGCACCAUCAGCUUUGAGGGUGCUGCUGUGUGUGUCCCACACAUAGGGCUGACCACAGCCGUGCUGUCCCAGUGCUCCUGGCUUGGACAUGGUGUGAUUUGUUUCUAGGCCAGGGCUGUUGAGGUCUCUGGCUCUGAAGGUGAUCCAUGAGCUAGAGUAAUGGAGAUUUCUUGCCGGGUCUUCACCUCAGAGCAUUGCUUGGUGUCCUGGGAUGCUGGCUGCAUAUUGCAACACCAGUUGCAGGUUUCCCUGUCCCGGCUUCCCUUCUUAUCACUGUUCUUUAUCAUACAACAGCAGGGAGCCUCAGGGACAGAACAUUCUACCCCUUCCUCACCCCCUAUGGAUGGCAGUGUGGGAAGACCUUGGGAAAGCUGCUCCCCGAGGCAGCUGUGGCUUGAGGGAACCUGCAUGGCCUUGGUGUUGGGUUCUGUGUGGAGGGGAUUGUAAGCACCAGGACUUAGAGAUCAGAGAGGCUGGGUGCUUCUGGUGCCCUGUGGGCAUGGCCCUCCACAGGAGAUGGUGCUCCAUGGGCCAUGCGUACGUGGGGGCCAGGUGUAAUUGUGUUGUAGGACAGGUGGCCUCUGGGGAAUGGAGGAGCAUGGAGGCAGGAAACCAGAUUAUGUCCUCCCUGGGAUUAUGGGAAAAACAUUUCAAGGGCAUUUUUGUUGUUGUUGUUGUUGUUAAUCCUCACCCAAGGAUAUUCCCCCCACUCCCCAUUGAUUUCUAAAGAGAGUAGAAGGGAGGGGGAGAGACACAGAGAGAGAAACAUCGAUGUGAGAGAGAUCCUUCAGUCCUCAGGCCAAUGCUCUAACCACGUAGCAAAACUGGCUAGGGCUUUAAGGGAAUCUUUUGUGAGUGGCUCUCAGUAUUGAGCAGGAGGAUAUUUCUGGUAGCUCUCCAUCAGUUAGUUUCUCUCCAUGGCAAGUUCAGAGAGCACUGUGUAGAUAUUGAUAGACUUGCUUCCUCAGAAGGUGCAGGUGAAGGAAGAGUUCAGGUGUGGCUUGAUCCAGCUUCUCCACACUGUCAUCAAGACAGACUUGUUUCUUCCCCCUUUCUUGGGUGAGUCAGCUUCCUGGUCCCAAGAGGGUCCUGCCAGUUGCUGUCAGAGCUGCACACCUGCUAGUUUAUGUCACCAGGAAAGAGAGUAUCUUUGCCCCAACAAAAGUCUUGAUUCACUUUCCUUGGGUUGCCUUAAGUCAUCUGUUCACCUCUGAACCGUCACUGUGGCCUUGGAAUGGAAUGUGCUGAAUGGUUCAGCCUCUUCCAGAAGCUGGUUGGGGAGUCCGCUUCCCUCAUCUGGAAAUCACUAUGGUGGGGAAGGAAGGGGAGAGAUGGUGAUGAGGGAACCAGUUGACAGCAUCCUCCAUGGAGCUCCUUGCUCUCUCAGCAGCCCCAGCAGCAUUCCACACGGCCUUUCCUGUGAGCCCCAGUGUGUGGUGCCAUACUGAAUGCUUCACAGACCUUGUCUCAUGAAAUUUCGCAGCAGCCCUCAUUAGAGGGAGGGAUGAUGCCCAUCCGCAGAGGGGAAGUGAGGUCUUGACCAGGACUUCUGUGGCAGUGGAUGCCAGGGCAUCCGGCCUCCCUGCGUCUCCUUCCUGGGUAUGACCUGGGCCCUACAAGUUGGGCAUGUGGCUAGAACUGGCCAGUUGGCAAGGUGGACAGAGGUCAGGGAAAUUCCUCCACUCUCUCCCUGUGUUGCUGUCUGGCAAGGUCCUCAGAUAGUGGGGCUAGGCCUCCUGGCAUCUUGAGUGCUUCCUACUGACCAGUCCCGCUGCCCUCAGAGUUGUGCCCCAGCAACCCAGAGGGACCAAGGCAGUUGUCUGAGGAUGUUCUGAGGGCAAUGCUGAGGGGGGCAAAUGCUGAGGGUAUCCUGGGAAGGGUGAAAGCAAGUCCUGGCAGUCCCGGGAACCCCAUCAGCCAUACCCACCUCUCUCCAGGCAAGGGGUGCAUUGGAAAGGAUGUGCUUUGGGAUCAGAUAGAUGGGCUUAACAUUUGACCUUCACAACCCUCCAGUGUGUAGGUGGUCGGUUGUUCAGCUCCUCUGUGCCUUAGUCUUCCCACCUGCAAGGUGGGCAUGGGAGUUUCUGCAGGGGAGAAUUGUUGUCAGGAAUGAGUGGGAUAUGGAGGCCUGUGGCCUAGCUCUAGACCUGCUGAGAGGCACAGGAUGAAGAAAUGCUAUUGCCCUUCCUUACGUUCAUGUGCCUGUGGGUUGGGCAGACCCUGCCCAGCGGCCGGUGCCUUAGCACUGUGUGUUACUAAGUACCAUCUGUUAGUCCUUCGACACUCUGUGGCAUAGAGACCCUUAUCCCAGUUGACUGUUGAGGAAGCUGACACCGAAGCAGGAGCAGAUGGCUUGAUGGUCCUCCCCUGAACUGGUGGACACGUUGCUGUGGACCGCCCAGCAUUGACGUGGCCGUGGCUGUGGCCCCCGCCCGCUGCUGAAUUUGGAUGUGUUGGUGGGACUCUGGAGCUCUGUGCAGCAUUGUGUCCGUGGAAGUUUUGAGCCACUGAGUUGCGAAGAGGAGCAGACGGUGCUAGCGAUGAGCUCCCAAAGCCACCCAGAUGGACUUUCUGGCCGAGACCAGCCCGUGGAGCUGCUAAACCCAGCCCGUGUGAACCAUAUGUCCAGCACCGUGGAUGUGGCCUCGGCGCUGCCUUUGCAGGUGGCUCCCUCGGCGGUGCCCAUGGACCUGCGCCUGGACCACCAGUUCCCGCUGCCUGUGGCGGAGCCCGCCCUCCGGGAACAGCAGCUGCAGCAGGAGCUCCUGGCUCUGAAGCAGAAGCAGCAGCUGCAGCGGCAGAUCCUCAUCGCAGAGUUCCAAAGGCAGCACGAACAGCUGUCGCGGCAGCACGAGGCCCAGCUGCACGAGCACAUCAAGCACCAGCAGGAACUGCUGGCCCUGAAGCACCAGCAAGAGCUGCUAGAGCACCAGCGGAAGCUGGAGAGGCACCGCCAGGAGCAGGCACUGGAGAAGCAGCACCGUGAGCAGAAGCUGCAGCAGCUCAAGAAUAAGGAGAAAGGCAAAGAGAGUGCUGUGGCCAGCACAGAAGUGAAGAUGAAGUUGCAAGAGUUUGUCCUCAAUAAAAAGAAGGCGCUGGCCCACCGGAGCCUGAACCACUGUAUCUCCAGUGAUCCUCGCUACUGGUAUGGGAAAACGCAGCACAGCUCCCUGGACCAGAGCUCCCCGCCCCAGAGCGGUGUGUCGGCCUCCUACAACCACCCGGUCCUGGGCAUGUAUGACGCCAAAGACGACUUCCCUCUCAGAAAAACAGCUUCAGAACCCAAUCUGAAAUUACGGUCCCGGCUAAAGCAGAAAGUGGCUGAGAGACGGAGCAGCCCUCUGUUGCGCAGGAAAGAUGGGCCUGUGGUCACUGCUCUAAAAAAGCGUCCUUUGGAUGUCACAGACUCUGCAUGCAGCAGUGCCCCCGGCUCCGCACCCAGCUCGCCCAACAACAGCUCCGGGAGCAUCAGCACGGAGAAUGGGAUCGCGCCCGCCGUCCCCAGCAUCCCAGCCGAGACCAGCUUGGCACACAGACUGGUGACUCGGGAAGGCUCCGUGGCCCCACUUCCCCUCUACACAUCGCCAUCCUUGCCCAACAUCACACUGGGACUUCCUGCCACCGGCCCUUCUGCUGGGGCGGCAGGCCAGCAGGAAGCCGAGAGACUGGCUCUCCCAGCCCUGCAACAGCGGCUCUCCCUCUUUCCUGGCACCCACCUCACGCCCUACCUGAGCACGGCGCCCCUGGAGCGGGACGGCGGGGCAGCUCACAACCCUCUCCUGCAGCACAUGGUCUUACUGGAGCAGCCACCCACACAGACGCCCCUCGUCACAGACUGGUAUCUUUCAGGCCUGGGCGCCCUGCCCCUGCACACACAGUCUCUGGUUGGCGCAGACCGGGUGUCCCCCUCCAUCCACAAGCUGAGGCAGCACCGCCCACUGGGGCGCACACAGUCGGCACCGCUGCCCCAAAACGCCCAGGCCCUGCAGCACCUGGUCAUCCAGCAGCAGCACCAGCAGUUUCUGGAGAAACACAAGCAACAGUUUCAGCAGCAGCAGCUGCAUAUGAACAAGAUUAUCCCCAAACCCAGCGAGCCAGCCCGGCAGCCUGAGAGCCACCCCGAGGAGACAGAGGAGGAGCUCCGUGAGCACCAGGCCCUCCUGGAGGAGCCCUACCUAGACCGGCUCUCUGGGCAGAAGGAGACCCAGGAGCUGACUGGAGUGCAGGUGAAACAGGAGCCCUUGGAGAGUGACGACGAGGAGGCAGAGCCACCUCGGGAAGUGGACCCUAGCCAGCGCCAGCCCACGGAGCAAGAGCUGCUCUUCAGACAGCAAGCGCUCCUGCUGGAACAGCAGCGGAUCCACCAGCUGAGGAACUACCAAGCCUCCAUGGAGGCCGCUGGCAUCCCUGUGUCCUUCGGUGGCCACCGGCCUCUGUCCCGGGCACAGUCCUCCCCAGCGUCUGCCACCUUUCCCAUGUCUGUGCAGGAGCCCCCCAGCAAACCGAGGUUCACCACAGGCCUGGUGUACGACACAUUGAUGCUGAAGCACCAGUGCACCUGCGGGAACAGCAAUAGCCACCCCGAGCACGCCGGCAGGAUCCAGAGCAUCUGGUCUCGGCUGCAGGAGACUGGCCUCCGAGGCAAAUGCGAGUGCAUCCGAGGACGGAAGGCCACCCUGGAGGAGCUGCAGACUGUGCAUUCGGAGGCACACACCCUACUCUACGGCACGAACCCCCUCAACAGGCAGAAACUGGACAGUAAGAAACGUCUAGGCUCGCUGACGUCCAUGUUUGUCAGGCUGCCCUGUGGCGGUGUCGGGGUGGACAGUGACACCAUAUGGAACGAGGUGCACUCAUCGGGGGCAGCCCGCCUGGCUGUGGGCUGCGUGGUGGAGCUGGUCUUCAAGGUGGCCACAGGGGAGCUGAAGAAUGGCUUUGCCGUGGUCCGCCCUCCAGGACAUCACGCAGAGGAGAGCACGCCCAUGGGUUUCUGCUACUUCAACUCCGUGGCUGUUGCAGCCAGGCUUCUCCAACAGAGGCUGAAUGUGAGCAAGACGCUCAUAGUGGACUGGGAUGUGCACCAUGGAAAUGGGACCCAGCAGGCCUUCUACAGCGACCCCAAUGUCCUCUACAUCUCACUGCACCGCUACGACGACGGCAACUUCUUCCCAGGCAGCGGGGCGCCUGACGAGGUGGGCACAGGGCCGGGCGUGGGCUUCAACGUCAACAUGGCUUUCACUGGUGGCCUUGACCCCCCCAUGGGAGAUGCAGAGUACUUGGCAGCCUUCAGAAUGGUGGUCAUGCCAAUCGCAAACGAGUUUGCCCCAGAUAUGGUGCUGGUGUCAGCAGGCUUCGACGCCGUGGAGGGCCACCCCACACCUCUGGGCGGCUACAACCUCUCUGCCAAAUAUCAAACAGGAUCCCAAACCGAAUUCCUCGAUGAAUUUAUUGCAAUCGAACCUGGCUUCCAUUAUGAGCCGCGGUGUGCCAGCCCCCUGGGUUUCGGGUACCUGACGAAGCAGCUGAUGGGUUUGGCUGGCGGCCGGAUAGUUUUGGCCCUGGAGGGGGGCCACGACCUCACGGCCAUUUGUGAUGCCUCGGAAGCAUGUGUUUCUGCUUUGCUGGGAAACGAGGUAGGAGGACCGGAGGCCCAUGGCUGCUGCACGCAGGCUCCAGACCCAGACCCAGUGUAUGGGCCACUUCACUUGCUCCCCACUUGGUUUUUGAUGUCCCCCCCUACCCCCACUCAGGCAACACAUCUGACAAAACUGCUUGAUUAUGGCCACAAGGAGCUCGAUCCUCUCCCAGAGAAGGUUUUACAGCAGAGACCCAAUGCCAACGCUGUCCGGUCCAUGGAGAAGGUCAUUGAGAUUCACAGCCAGUACUGGCGCUCCCUGCAGCGCCUCCCCUCCACCGUGGCCUACUCCCUGGUCGAGGCCCAGAAGCGCGAGAAUGAAGAAGCCGAGACAGUCACCGCCAUGGCCUCCCUGUCCGUAGGUGUGAAGCCUGCUGAGAAGAGCACUGAAGCGAGCACCCGUGUGUCCUUGCACCCGUGGCGGCGUCUGAGCGGAGUUGCUGGUCAACUGGUGUCAGCACUGUGAGAACGGUUGCUCCCCGCAUCUGUGCGUUUCCACACGCAGGGCACUGACUGGGACGCCGCGUGGAGCCCACCGCCUCUGGGAGCAGCAUUGACUUCUGGGCAAUGAGGACACCUGGGGGGCUCUGGACUGAAGGUGCCCCUGGACCCAGCAGUGGCUCUUCUCUUGGUGGCCCCGCAGCUCAACACUCAUCUCUCAUUCACUCGGUGUGGCUUUGCCGGGUGCUGGGCACUGUCUGGAUGGAGGAGAGACUGAUGGAGGGGCCCACACUCUGGUGGUGGAAGGUCCUCUUUCCAAAGGCCACCUGCUGAGCUGAGCGGCGGCGAGCCAGAGGACGUGCCCGUGGAGGUGGAAGGCGCUCUGUCCCUCCAUGGCUGCAGGUGUUGCAAUAGCAUCCCCCUCCUUCCAAAACUUGGCAAAAGUCUCGAGGAGCAAACCAGCCACAUAUUUGCCGCUGCUCCUUCCUGAAGCUGGACUUUGUUUCUUCAGAAACACCGCGUCCUGCCUGCCUCUUAGACACGCCCGGACCCCCCGCAGUCUCUGCACGUGGCCUACCGGCCGUGGGGGAGGCUGCCUUGCUGUCUGGGUUCCCGGCAUUUUAACCUCGUUGCACCAGCUCCACGCAGCUCCGAAGGCUUUCCGCUUCCCCUCCCAGAGACACCACUUUGUGUACCUGGUUCAGAUCCUGUGACCCAAAAAUGGCCUGUGCAACUGAGGCUGCAGCUGAAUUCCCCGGCAGGACAACCCUCGUUGCUCCUGACACACACCUCUCAAGCUGUGAUGAAGGACCAGAGCUUUGGAAUGUCUGAUUCAGGUGGACUGAUGCUCUAAUGAAAUGCACCCAAGAUGCCACGGCCAAGUCCAAGGUGACGGAUGCAUGCCCAGCUUCUCUCAGCUUUGCUCGACCCCCAGGGCGACGCUGGCGCAGUGGUGGUCUCAGAGCUCGGGUCACGGAGCCGGGGCUCUGAGCUGAGACGGGGCCGGUGGGGGAGGGCUGGCUCCUGCUUCCCCAGUGCCCUGCUGCCAGGAGCCUGGUCAACCCGAUGACCCGGUGAGCGGCUGGGAAUGGACCUGGUGUUGAGUCUCCCCGGACUCUCUGGCCUCUCCUUGGUGCCACCAGGCACACCAGUCCCUCCGCGGUGACACCUCCUCGCCACAACACGUUGGGUGGAUUCGGCCGGGCUUUAUCAGCAUGUUUGAGUGGUUUCGUGGUUGCUUAUUAAUCCUGCUUCUUAAAUACAUGUUGAUCUUUAAUAGGAAACAUGGUGAUUCAUUAAAAAAACAACAGUGUUAAAAUGAGAUGAUGGCAGAGCUAGAAUUGGACCUACAUAGUGCUUGACCAAGUUCACGUGCAAAAUCCAAGCGACUUGCCAGGUGGUCAUUCUCACCUGCCAGCUCUCAGAUUCAACCCCCGAGGACUUUCCUUGGACAGUUUCCCAUCGGGAAUGGCCUCCGGGUGCCGGAGGGCAUUGGGGUCCACAGAUGGCUGUGAAGAGAUGGACGGGGAGCCUGCCUUCAGGACACAUCUAGUCCAAGGGGCCACCGGGGAGGGGCAGGCAGAGGCAGGCACGGCUGGUCCCAGGCAGGGACCCAAUGCCCCACGGGGUCAGGACCACACUGGCCUGUCCACCUUCAUGCUCUGUGUCCAGCCUGGACUUCAGGAAUUUUUGCUGAUUGACUGACAGACCACCCCUUCCCCAUCCCCCCUCCCCCCACGCCUGCCCAGGUGUGCGGUGCUUGAGGGAACAGGACUCUGCCGCAGGACCUGCAGCGGGAGGGGGAGUCGCCUGACAAGGUAUGCCAUCGACGCCCUUGGCUCGGGACCUUGUCCUCAAAAGGUCUGCCUUUCCCAAAGGGACACCCCAGACCCAGCUGGGUGGGGGCUGGGAAAACUCAGCUCAGAGUGGAGAGGGGAGGCAUCUGACCCACCCUUGAACUUUUCUGGCAGGGAAGUGAAGUCCGUGAGGAAACACAGUGAGUCUGGGCUUCCUCAGGCUCUGCAGGGAGCCGCCUUGGGAGGGAUAAAUCAGCGUGGGAAGGAGGCAGGAAGGUGGGAGGAUGGGUGAGCAUGGGGGGCUUUGACCCGAAAAGUUUGCUUUCUGGGAAUGACGACGUUCUGAGAGUGUGCUGUUUGCGCAUAUGUGUUAUGUAGUGGCAUGUGCGUGUGUGCACGUAUGUGCCUGUGCCUAUUGUGAAUGCCUGUGCACACCUAUGUGACUGCAGGUGUGUGCGUGCAGGUGUGACAUCCUCUGCAGGUGAAGAGCGGAGACAUCCCCCCAAAGGCUGCUCAGCUCCCCUGGGCUGGGGCGAGCCAUCCCUUCAUCCCCAUCCACAGGGCAGGCCCCCACAGCCCCCCACCCCAUCUAGGGCUUCUGGAGGUGGACUGUCCACAGGGAGGGGUCCUGUGCCCACUUCCACAAGAGAACAGCUCGGUGCCCAGGAACAGAGGGUGAGCACACCCCUGUCCUCGCCACCCCCUCCCCCGUCUGCAUCCGUCCCUUCCCCUCCCCCACUGCCUCCGUUUGUGGCAGAAACCCUGGGUGAGGCCCAGAGAGGUGGCCCUGUUUCUCUAAAGGGCAGGCUGGGGGUGCCCUUAGGUGAAGGCAGGACCCAGAAAAGGCCCCGAUGGCCUGGGAGACACACCCUGGAGUGCUCCGGGCCCCUUCCCCGUGGGGCGAGGGGCAGAUGUGGCCUUUCCUGCCUGAUGGUUUGCUCACCAUCAGGGAAGCCCGUGCCUCCCUCAGAGGAGCACAUGGACACCACACCGACCAGGUCCGUAAAGGGCCUCCUCAGGGCUGGUCCCAGGGCAGCGUCUGUGGGGGAGGCCCUGUGGGAUGUGCAAGGGCAGCUGGUCACCCUCGGUGGGUGGACAGGAGCCAUCAGAGGCCCUGAGGCCCACCCCCUUCCAGGACGCUCAGGGCCUGCCCAGAGGGUGACAGGCGGCUGCCCACGGUCCUGCCCAGGCCUCGGCAGGCCCCGCCGCCACCCGCUUUGCUCCUGGGAGUUGGAGCUGGCUGCUGAGGUGGGUCCUCCGGCACAGGGAUGCUCCCAGAUUUAAGACCUUCCUGUGUGUGUGCAGGUCAGUGCUGGGGAGCAUCGAACUGGAGGCCGAGGGCCAGCGAUUACCUCACGCCGGACAGAUCCCAGCUGCUCUGCACAGAUAAGCAGCUGCAAGCUGAUUGAGUGGGAAUCGUGCAAGAUGGUGAGUAAGUGGGACGAGGGGGCUGGGGGCCAGGACGCCUCCCAUGGCCCAACCUCAGGUUCAGACACAGCCUGGGGCUGGGUCCACUCUGCUGGGCGUUAGGUCCCGGAGGUUCUGGUGCCCCGGCUGAGCCCGCUGGCGGGCCCACAGACCAGCAGAUGUGAUGUGAUGGGAUGAGGGCGUGGACAGGGGCGGGGCCGAGGGGCUGCCCAGACCUCCUGCCAGAUUUCUGACAUCCUUGUGAAAAACAACAGGCCAGGGCCAAGUGUCCUCCUGGGAGAGAGGUGGGAGCAGCCCGUAGGCACGGUGACCCGUGUGGGGACGGGCAGUGCGUGCACUGGGCUCCGGGUGGCAGGUUGGGCGGCUGCAGGGCCUGACUCACUGGGAGGAAGGGGGCAAAGACAUUCCACGUGAGUUUUUAAAAUCCUGCCAACUUUCUAGGGAGCGGGAGCUGCGUGCGGGGAGGAGGGCUUCCUGCCAGGCCCAGCGGAGCCGCAGAGGGCCACCCCGCCUCCCUGCGGCCUCUGGAGCUGUGACCCUCGCCCUCCCAGGACCCACCUCGCCUGGCGUUCAUCUUCCUCUGAGGAAGGGACAGGACAGCUCGGAGCCCACAGGUGCUGCACAGACAGGACCAGCUGACGGUGACCUCUUCCUUCCACACCCGCCCAGGGUCACCACGGCAGCACAGGCAGGAGGCAGAGGGACAGGUUGUGGGGGUUUGCCACCCUCACAGGCUGGAUGGACGGAAGUUCAACUCCACCAGACACCCCCUCCCUGCCCUCAUCCCCGCGUCCACACUCCCGUCGCAGGUCCUCACGCCCCCGCCACCCUCCACUGCUGCGGGUGCUGGCUGUCCGUUUGGUUUUCUGCGAGAUGGGAUUCUCUCUGGGACCUCCUACCAGUUCGCCCCUAGGCACCAAGCACAGCGCGGCUGCUUCCUUCUGCUCCCACUGAGCAGGCACAGCUGCCCCCAGUUCCUUACCUGUUAUCAACAGGAAGGGGUCCCUGGUCUCCCCCCCGCACCCCGGUCUCUGGUUACAACAUCUCCCCACACCCGUUUCCCUCUGUCACGAAGCACAGGCCCACGGGGCAGUGACCAGUCCAUGGCCACCCUGCCAGACCGGAGCUUGGUCUCGGGACCCCAAGCCCGGUGCCUUUUCUACUGCAGCAGCAGGUCCCAGAAGUCACUUCCCCGCGGGAGACCCGGUCCUUACAAAGGAGCCUCGGUCAGACGACCUUGAAGCACAAGAUGCCCAGGGCAACGGGGACUGGAGCCAUGGCCACCGGCUCUGCCCCCUGCCCCACCAGGUGGUUGCCCGGAGGUCACCCGACAGACAGGCCAGGGUCCGAGGAACAUGAACGAAAGCCCAGGACAGCAGGGGUAGCGGCAGGUGCCUGCUUCGUGCAGGUGUGGGGUUUGUCCCCAGCGAGGGAGCCAGAGGCCAGUGACGCAGGGCCUCCCGGUGACGAGCCCUCUCCUGGGCUC